UAGCGACUAAUUUGGUCGGAAAUAUUUAGUAAAACAGGUUGACUGCUUUGACCAAAUUACUGACCGAAUCAGUCGGAAAGGUUUUUAGAAAAACCUACCAGGGAACAUCUUUCUUUUCCAUUCCUUCUUUUCUUCUUUCUCUCUUCUAUCUCUCACUCAAACUUCCCCCACCCAAACCCGCCACUGCCACCAACCAUCGGCACUCGCCGGCGCCGCUGAAGCUUCGUCGAGACUCUCUACUGCCAGCGCAGCAUCAAGGUUUUCAUUGACUCAACUGUCUUGAUUAUGUUUUACAAUCUUGGGUUUGACGCUGAGUCUUAAUUGGCACAUCUAGAUGUAAAUUGCAAUUCAAUCUAAUUACAAUUAUUUUUAAAAAAUUCUACCAAGGAUAAAUGAUCCAAGCAUACAUACAAUAAAAGGUUGGAAGAAUGGCAACAAACUCAGCCUCCUUCAACUCAACCAACACCUGAUGAUAUGGAUUCACUGUGGACAGAGGCAGCGGGUGGAGUAAACAAAGGCAGAGUCUACGGACUAGGAGUACGUCGACCCACAGGUCAUCCAAACCCACUCUUAGCCAAUUCUUCUUCUCCUCAAAAUAAAGAACAGAUGGAAGAUAUGAGAAACGAAAUUCGUGAAUUGAAGCAACAAUUGGACUCCCAAUACGGAACAUUUGUUAAGAUUCAGAAAUUCAUGAGUAAACAUGGGCAUGAUUUAUAUGAUGAUGAGGAUGAACAAACUGAAUCUGAUGUGUAGUGGUUUAGUUGUGAUGUUUUGGUUGAUUGGUAAACUUGAUUGUGAGAGACAACUUUAUGUAUUACUUUUAAACUUGAAUGUGGGCUACUAUUUGGAUGUUUUUAUGCCAAAAAUUGUUAGGUUUAAAGGUUGGUAUUGUUGGUUUAAGUUGUGUUAAUGGUUGGCAUUGUUGGUUUAGAUUUUGUCAAUGUAUUGUUAAUUUAGAUUGUGUUAAUGUAUUGUUGGUUGGUAUUA